GACGAACGCUGGCGGCGUGCUUAACACAUGCAAGUCGAACGGAAAGGCCCUGCGUUUGUGGGGUGCUCGAUUGGCGAACGGGUGAGUAACACGUGAGUAACCUGCCCUUGUCUUUGGGAUAACUUCAGGAAACUGGGGCUCAUACCGGAUAUGAGAUCCUGCUGCAUGGUGGGCGUUGGAAAGAUUCGGCGGUGGGGGCUGGACUCGCGGCUUAUCAGCUUGUUGGUGGGGUAGUGGCUUACCAAGGCUAUGAAGGGUAGCCGGCCUGAGCGGGUGACCGGCCACAUUGGGACUGAGAUACGGCCCAGACUCCUACGGGAGGCAGCAGUGGGGAAUAUUGCACAAUGGGCGGAAGCCUGAUGUAGCAACGCCGCGUGCGGGAUGACGGGCUUCGGGUUGUAAACCGCUUUCGCCUGUGACGAAGCGUGAGUGACGGUAAUGGGUAAAGAAGCACCGGCUAACUACGUG
rnacentral:rRNA from 1 species